GGCUCCGAGGGAUGCGGAAGCAGUAAUGCCCGCAUGGUCAGCUUUUAGACCUUGAACACCCCUAUCGGAGCCUU
rnacentral:ncRNA from 1 species